rnacentral:rRNA from 1 species
CAGCCGCCACGGUAAUACGUAGGUCCCGAGCGUUGUCCGGAUUUAUUGGGCGUAAAGCGAGCGCAGGCGGUUAGAUAAGUCUGAAGUUAAAGGCUGUGGCUUAACCAUAGUACGCUUUGGAAACUGUUUAACUUGAGUGCAAGAGGGGAGAGUGGAAUUCCAUGUGUAGCGGUGAAAUGCGUAGAUAUAUGGAGGAACACCGGUGGCGAAAGCGGCUCUCUGGCUUGUAACUGACGUUGAGGCUCGAAAGCGUGGGGAGCGAACAGGAUUAGAUACCCCAGUAGUCCCUGUCUCUUAUACA